UACGUAGGGGGCAAGCGUUAUCCGGAUUUACUGGGUGUAAAGGGAGCGUAGACGGCUUUGCAAGCCAGAUGUGAAAGCCCGGGGCUCAACCUCGGGACUGCAUUUGGAACUGUAUGGCUGGAGUGUCGGAGAGGCAGGCGGAAUUCCUAGUGUAGCGGUGAAAUGCGUAGAUAUUAGGAGGAACACCAGUGGCGAAGGCGGCCUGCUGGACGAUGACUGACGUUGGGGCUCGAAAGCGUGGGGAGCAAACAGG
rnacentral:rRNA from 1 species